rnacentral:lncRNA from 10 species
ACAAACUACAAAACAUCAGUGAAGAGCUCCAGAGAAAUAUUUCUCUACAACUGAUGAGUAACAUGAAUAUCUCCAACAAGAUCAGGAACCUCUCCACCACACUGCAAACAAUAGCCACCAAAUUAUGUCGUGAGCUAUAUAGCAAAGAACAAGCACAAAUGUAAGCCUUGUCCAAGGAGAUGGAUUUGGCAUAAGGACAGCUGUUAUUUCCUAAGUGAUGAUGUCCAAACAUGGCAGGAGAGUAAAAUGGCCUGUGCUGCUCAGAAUGCCAGCCUGUUGAAGAUAAACAACAAAAAUGCAUUGGAAUUUAUAAAAUCCCAGAGUAGAUCAUAUGACUAUUGGCUGGGAUUAUCUCCUGAAGAAGAUUCCACUCGUGGUAUGAGAGUGGAUAAUAUAAUCAACUCCUCUGCCUGGGUUAUAAGAAACGCACCUGACUUAAAUAACAUGUAUUGUGGAUAUAUAAAUAGACUAUAUGUUCAAUAUUAUCACUGCACUUAUAAAAAAAGAAUGAUAUGUGAGAAGAUGGCCAAUCCAGUGCAGCUUGGUUCUACAUAUUUUAGGGAGGCAUGAGGCAUCAAUCAAAUACAUUUAAGGAGUGUAGGGGGUGGGGGUUCUAGGCUAUAGGUAAAUUUAAAUAUUUUCUGGUUGACAAUUAGUUGAGUUUGUCUGAAGACCUGGGAUUUUAUCAUGCAGAUGAAACAUCCAGGUAGCAAGCUUCAGAGAGAAUAGACUGUGAAUGUUAAUGCCAGAGAGGUAUAAUGAAGCAUGUCCCACCUCCCACUUUCCAUCAUGGCCUGAACCCUGGAGGAAGAGGAAGUCCAUUCAGAUAGUUGUGGGGGGCCUUCGAAUUUUCAUUUUCAUUUACGUUCUUCCCCUUCUGGCCAAGAUUUGCCAGAGGCAACAUCAAAAACCAGCAAAUUUUAAUUUUGUCCCACAGCGUUGCUAGGGUGGCAUGGCUCCCCAUCUCGGGUCCAUCCUAUACUUCCAUGGGACUCCCUAUGGCUGAAGGCCUUAUGAGUCAAAGGACUUAUAGCCAAUUGAUUGUUCUAGGCCAGGUAAGAAUGGAUAUGGACAUGCAUUUAUUACCUCUUAAAAUUAUUAUUUUAAGUAAAAGCCAAUAAACAAA